AGGGGUUCUCUUCCUCAUAGUGUUCUUCUGUCACUAUUUCGUUACUAUUUUCAGCUUCGGGUUCCUGAGUUUGAGUCUCCACCUCAUUUGAGACAGUAGGGGCAGGUGGAUUGAGUUUUCCUAACUCCACCUUAAAUUGGUCUCUCUCUUCACCCGAUUCUACUUCACUUUCGGGUUCAGUUUUCCCUUUAAUACACGGCAUUUCUUUUUCGUUAAACGUGAC
rnacentral:lncRNA from 1 species